AUUGAACGCUGGCGGCAGGCCUAACACGUGCAAGUCGAGCGGAUGAAGGGAGCUUGCUCCUGGAUUCAGCGGCGGACGGGUGAGUAAUGCCUAGGAAUCUGCCUGGUAGUGGGGGAUAACGUCCGGAAACGGGCGCUAAUACCGCAUACGUCCUGAGGGAGAAAGUGGGGGAUCUUCGGACCUCACGCUAUCAGAUGAGCCUAGGUCGGAUUAGCUAGUUGGUGGGGUAAAGGCCUACCAAGGCGACGAUCCGUAACUGGUCUGAGAGGAUGAUCAGUCACACUGGAACUGAGACACGGUCCAGGCUCCUACGGGAGGCAGCAGUGGGGAAUAUUGGACAAUGGGCGAAAGCCUGAUCCAGCCAUGCCGCGUGUGUGAAGAAGGUCUUCGGAUUGUAAAGCACUUUAAGUUGGGAGGAAGGGCAGUAAGUUAAUACCUUGCUGUUUUGACGUUACCAACAGAAUAAGCACCGGCUAACUUCGUG
rnacentral:rRNA from 1 species